AUUGAACGCUGGCGGCAGGCUUAACACAUGCAAGUCGAGCGGAGAUGAGGUGCUUGCACCUUAUCUUAGCGGCGGACGGGUGAGUAAUGCUUAGGAAUCUGCCUAUUAGUGGGGGACAACAUUCCGAAAGGAAUGCUAAUACCGCAUACGUCAUACGGGAGAAAGCAGGGGAUCUUCGGACCUUGCGCUAAUAGAUGAGCCUAAGUCGGAUUAGCUAGUGGGUGGGGUAAAGGCCUACCAAGGCGACGAUCUGUAGCGGGUCUGAGAGGAUGAUCCGCCACACUGGGACUGAGACACGGCCCAGACUCCUACGGGAGGCAGCAGUGGGGAAUAUUGGACAAUGGGGGGAACCCUGAUCCAGCCAUGCCGCGUGUGUGAAGAAGGCCUUAUGGUUGUAAAGCACUUUAAGCGAGGAGGAGGCUACUGAGACUAAUACUCUUGGAUAGUGGACGUUACUCGCAGAAUAAGCACCGGCUAACUCUGUGCCAGCAGCCGCGGUAA
rnacentral:rRNA from 1 species